AGAUAUGAGGCUAUCUGGUUGCAACAUCUAUCACUCCAUAGACCACCAGAGUUGAUUCAGCUGACCUGGCUGCCCAGGUAGGUGUCCCCUUCCUUCCUCACUGCUCCAUGUGCGCCUCUGCUGAAGCUUGGUUGAAGAGGAUGACUGUUUCUGGUAGAGUAAGACCAAUUCUUCGGUCAAGGGUAUACAAGGGUUCCAGCUCCCCUGCUGGAACAAGCUCUCCAUAAACAUACUUAUUAUAUUCUGAUGCUGCCCCAAGAAUGGUUAA
rnacentral:sRNA from 1 species